CCACUUCCGACUGCAACUAGGGUAGAUCUGUACCUGAACGUAAAGGUACUUGUACCCAGCUCGGACUGCACUGGGCUGUCAGACGAGAUCCCGGCCGCUGGGAGUGCGGUGAACGCGGCGCUGAGUCAGUGACGGACGGACGGGAGCGGGAGCACUGGCAUUCACAGUAGAACAAAGAAAUGCAGUAGAGUCAAUGGAAAACUACAGAUAAAGACUGAGAAAAAACUAAUGUGGAAAAGAAGGCAAAUGGCGCAAAUACAGAAAAACAAAUAAUAAUAAUAAUAAUAAAUGGUACAGGGACAAUGGUGGACGUUUUGAAGCAGGAGGGCACUCUACACU